GUGCUAAGUGUUGGAGGGUUUCCGCCCUUCAGUGCUGCAGCUAACGCAUUAAGCACUCCGCCUGGGGAGUACGACCGCAAGGUUGAAACUCAAAGGAAUUGACGGGGGCCCGCACAAGCGGUGGAGCAUGUGGUUUAAUUCGAAGCAACGCGAAGAACCUUACCAGGUCUUGACAUCCUUUGACCACUCUAGAGAUAGAGCUUCCCCUUCGGGGGCAAAGUGACAGGUGGUGCAUGGUUGUCGUCAGCUCGUGUCGUGAGAUGUUGGGUUAAGUCCCGCAACGAGCGCAACCCUUAUUGUUAGUUGCCAUCAUUCAGUUGGGCACUCUAGCAAGACUGCCGGUGACAAACCGGAGGAAGGUGGGGAUGACGUCAAAUCAUCAUGCCCCUUAUGACCUGGGCUACACACGUGCUACAAUGGGAAGUACAACGAGUUGCGAAGUCGCGAGGCUAAGCUAAUCUCUUAAAGCUUCUCUCAGUUCGGAUUGCAGGCUGCAACUCGCCUGCAUGAAGCCGGAAUCGCUAGUAAUCGCGGAUCAGCACGCCGCGGUGAAUACGUUCCCGGGCCUUGUACACACCGCCCGUCACACCACGAGAGUUUGUAACACCCGAAGUCGGUGAGGUAACCUUUUGGAGCCAGCCGCCUAAGGUGGGAUAGAUGAUUGGGGUGAAGUCGUAACAAGGUAGCCGUAUCGGAAGGUGCGGCUGGAUCACCUCCUUU
rnacentral:rRNA from 1 species